rnacentral:rRNA from 1 species
AUGGCUUCAGCACUGGCGAGGAGGGCGGGAGGUUCCCCUGCGGCGGCGCUGUGGGCCGCGGCCAGGGGAUUCGCGUCGGUGGGCUCCGACAUCGUCUCCGCGGCACCCGGCGUGUCGCUGCAGAAGGCGCGGUCCUGGGACGAGGGGGUCGCCACCAAGUUCUCCACCACCCCUCUCAAGGACAUCUUCCAUGGAAAGAAAGUCGUCAUCUUCGGAUUUCAGGGCGCAUACACAGGAGUAUGUUCGCAGUCACAUGUCCCUAGUUACAAGAACAACAUUGAUAAGUUGAAAGCAAAAGGGAUCGACUCUGUUAUCUGUGUAGCUGUAAAUGAUCCCUAUGUGCUGAAUGGAUGGGCAGAAAAAUUACAGGCAAAAGAUGCAAUCGAGUUUUAUGGCGACCUUGACGGGAGCUUCCACAAAAGCUUGGAUCUGGAAAUAGAUCUCUCUGCUGCUUUGCUUGGCCGCCGCUCCCACAGGUGGUCAGCCUUUGUCGACGAUGGGAAGAUCAAGGCUUUCAACGUUGAGAAAGCCCCUUCUGACUUCAAGGUUUCUGGUGCUGAGGUUAUCUUGGAUCAAAUCUGA